rnacentral:rRNA from 1 species
GUAGUUAGUUUAACCUUCGGGAGAACGAUUACCACUUUGUGUUUCAUGACUGGGGUGAAGUCGUAACAAGGUAACCGUAGGGGAACCUGCGGUUGGAUCACCUCCUUACCUUAAAGAA